GAUCGGCUGUUCCUAUUGUUAGACACAGGGAGCACAGCUGUAGCACGCAAGGCUGCAGCCCAGCAGUUGGGUGAGGUCCAAAAGCUUCACCCGCACGAACUGCACAACCUACUGGCAAAGGUGCACGGCUACCUGCGCAGUAUAUUCAUGGGAGACGAGGAUCGCUGCAGGUCUGGCCGUAGAAGCUAUCUGUAAGAAUGUUCCUCAGUGGCAGCCGAAGCCUGCAGCUAAGCAAGGUGAGGAUGAGGAGCACAGCUGCGGCUGCAGUGACC